GAGCUGUCUUCAGUAGCACAUAUACUUAAACGGGAAUGAUACAGAGAAGAUUAGCAAGGUUCCUUCACAAGGAUAAUAUGCAAGUUGUGAAGCAGUUGUUUCAUAUUAAAAUUUUUU
rfam:Ictidomys tridecemlineatus contig016493, whole genome shotgun sequence.